UACGUAGGGUGCGAGCGUUGUCCGGAUUUAUUGGGCGUAAAGAGCUCGUAGGCGGCUCGGUAAGUCGGGUGUGAAAUUUCGAGGCUUAACCUCGAAACGCCACCCGAUACUGCUGUGGCUAGAGUCCGGUAGGGGAGCGUGGAAUUCCUGGUGUAGCGGUGAAAUGCGCAGAUAUCAGGAGGAACACCAGCGGCGAAGGCGGCGCUCUGGGCCGGUACUGACGCUGAGGCGCGAAAGCGUGGGUAGCAAACGGG
rnacentral:rRNA from 1 species